rnacentral:rRNA from 1 species
CCUACGGGAGGCAGCAGUAGGGAAUAUUGCUCAAUGGGGGAAACCCUGAAGCAGCAACGCCGCGUGGAGGAUGAAGGUUUUCGGAUUGUAAACUCCUUUUGUUAGAGAAGAUAAUGACGGUAUCUAACGAAUAAGCACCGGCUAACUCCGUGCCAGCAGCCGCGGUAAUACGGAGGGUGCAAGCGUUACUCGGAAUCACUGGGCGUAAGGAGCGCGUAGGCGGGAUAGCAAGUCAGAUGUGAAAUCCUAUGGCUUAACCAUAGAACUGCAUUUGAAACUGUUAUUCUAGAGUAUGGGAGGGGUAGGUGGAAUGUUUGGUGUAGGAGUAAAAUCCGUAGAGAUCAAGAGGAAUACUCAUUGCGAAGGCGACCUGCUAGAACAUAACUGACGCUGAUGCGCGAAAGCGUGGGGAGCAAACAGGAUUAGAUACCCCAGUAGUC